UAAAUUCAUCACAUAACCUGGCUGUGACCACUUACCUCUUCGAAGAAUUAAGGUCAACUUUUACAGACGUUGACCCUGAAUGUGUACAAGCAGGUUGGAAGAUGUAUUUUGAGACUUUGCAGAGGAAGUAUUCUUUGGCUCAGCCUGAAAAGGCCCAGAAAAGAAAAACUAUGACGAGCAUUGCAAAGAACCUUCAAAGAAAGCGACUGUUGCUGGAGACCAGGUCCGGGUUG